rnacentral:rRNA from 1 species
UCUCUCUGAAUCUGCGAACGGCUCCGCAAACCAGUUGUAAACGCCGGCAUGUCCCGCUCGCGGCCGGCCCCUCACGGGGUUGGCCCGGGCAAACAUAUGGAUAACCGUGGUAAUUCUGAGGCUAAUACAUGACAAUAAAAGCCUGCUGCUUGAGCUGCCGGUGCCUUCGGGUGUCGGAUGUGAUCGGCAGCGGGGGAUGUGCGCAUUAAAGCUGGGUAAAUCGGGAAAGAGCGCAUGUUCGGACCAUCGCGAAGGGCCCUGCUGGGGCGGGGGCGGCUCACGCUGCACCUGCCCUGCUAAGCCUGGUGGUGCGUGCUUAGUGCUUCUGACCUAUCAACUAGAUGGCAGCAUACGGGACAUGCCAUGGUGACAACGGGUACAGAGGAUUAGGGUUCGAUCCUGGAGAGUGGGCCUGAGAGAUU